rnacentral:rRNA from 1 species
GGAAUCUUCCACAAUGGGCGCAAGCCUGAUGGAGCAACGCCGCGUGAGUGAAGAAGGUCUUCGGAUCGUAAAACUCUGUUGUUAGAGAAGAACACGAGUGAGAGUAACUGUUCAUUCGAUGACGGUAUCUAACCAGCAAGUCACGGCUAACUACGUGCCAG